rnacentral:rRNA from 1 species
GACCGUGAAAACCUGGGGCUCAACCCCAGGCCUGCGGUCGAUACGGGCAGGCUAGAGUUCGGUAGGGGAGACUGGAAUUCCUGGUGUAGCGGUGAAAUGCGCAGAUAUCAGGAGGAACACCGGUGGCGAAGGCGGGUCUCUGGGCCGAUACUGACGCUGAGGAGCGAAAGCGUGGGGAGCGAACAGGAUUAGAUACCCUGGUAGUCCACGCUGUAAACGUUGGGCGCUAGGUGUGGGGGGCCUCUCCGGUUCCCUGUGCCGCAGCUAACGCAUUAAGCGCCCCGCCUGGGGAGUACGGCCGCAAGGCUAAAACUCAAACGAAUUGACGGGGGCCCGCACAAGCGGUGGAGCAUGUGGUUUAAUUCGAUGCAACGCGAAAAACCUUACCUGCCUUUGACAUCUUCGGAACGGUCCAGAGAUGGACUGGUGCCCUAGGGAACCGAAUGACAGGUGCUGCGCGGCUGUCGUCAGCUCGUGUCGUGAGAUGUUGGGUUAAGUCCCGUAACGAGCGCAACCCUUAUCCCUAGUUGCCAGCGGUUCGGCCGGGAACUCUAGGGAGACUGCCGGUGAUAAACCGGAGGAAGGUGGGGAUGACGUCAAGUCCUCAUGGCCUUUAUGGGCAGGGCUACACACGUGCUACAAUGGGCGGUACAGAGGGCGGCCAAGCCGCGAGGCGGAGCUAAUCCCAGAAAACCGUUCGUAGUCCGGAUUGGAGUCUGCAACUCGACUCCAUGAAGUCGGAAUCGCUAGUAAUCGCGGAUCAGAACGCCGCGGUGAAUACGUACCCGGGCCUUGUACACACCGCCCGUCAUACCAUGGGAGUGGGCUGUACCAGAAGUGGGCUCGACUCCAUGAAGUCGGAAUCGCUAGUAAUCGCGGAUCAGAACGCCGCGGUGAAUACGCAAGCCGCGAGGCGGAGCUAAUCCCAGAAAACCGUUCGUAGUCCGGAUUGGAGUCUGCAACCUCAUGGCCUUUAUGGGCAGGGCUACACACGUGCUACAAUGGGCGGUACAGAGGGCGGCCCGGGAACUCUAGGGAGACUGCCGGUGAUAAACCGGAGGAAGGUGGGGAUGACGUCAAGUAGAUGUUGGGUUAAGUCCCGUAACGAGCGCAACCCUUAUCCCUAGUUGCCAGCGGUUCGGACUGGUGCCCUAGGGAACCGAAUGACAGGUGCUGCGCGGCUGUCGUCAGCUCGUGUCGUGUUCGAUGCAACGCGAAAAACCUUACCUGCCUUUGACAUCUUCGGAACGGUCCAGAGAUGGAAGGCUAAAACUCAAACGAAUUGACGGGGGCCCGCACAAGCGGUGGAGCAUGUGGUUUAAGGUUCCCUGUGCCGCAGCUAACGCAUUAAGCGCCCCGCCUGGGGAGUACGGCCGC